CAUUCCAUUGAUCCAUUACCGUUUCAGGGGAAAAAUUUUCUUUUCUUCUCCAAAAAAAUAUAAUAAACUAAGUUAAGUAUAAUUAUUGUGCGAUUUUGUUAUUCUCGUACUUAUCUACCUUGGAUAGAAUAGCAUGAACUUUUCUGUAGAACCGCACAGAGCAAUAAGCUCUUGUAGUGUGAAACCACAGCGAGCAUGCCUCGUUUGUGGUGGAACUAAACAGGUUCUUGUAUAUGCUAGCGUGAAACCAAACAGUGCAAAUCACUAACUUUAUCGGUUCUUGUAUAUACUAGCGUGGAAAGUCUUCGGCACUUGGCCGCUUGGUGCAGCACUUGUACUGUGAAAUAACCAAAAUAAUGGGCGUGAGCUAUAUUCAUAUACACAAAUCUGGACUCCAGUGAAGGAGACAUGCAGACAUUCCAAAAGCAAAGCAUAUGGAGAAUGCACAAAAUGGAGUAAGAAUUUGAAGUACAGUUUUGCAAUAGAUUAUUUUUUUAUAUGUAGCAUUAGUUCUAUUAUACUAUUAUUACAAAACAUAACUUUUUGUACAAACUCGAUGACAAAAAAAGAAAAUGUAAAGCAGCAAACAAGAAUAAAACCACUCUUAGGACACUGAAGAUAUAAAAACAUUGUGCUUACGUAUUGCACAUUAAAUGUUCAAUAUUCAGUUAUCCAAAUCCAACGUUGUAUUCCAAAUUUUCUUCAUCCUUGGUGAAUCAAAUACAUAUUAUUAAAUUUAAAGCUGCCCGUAAAUUGCAUUGAAUACUAUAGAACACAAUAUGAUCUCAAAUCCAUUAUCUUCAUGUCUUUAAAAACUUCUAUAUAAUGUCAUCAUUCUUCAGAUGUUGCAAUAAGUAAAGUGAAGAUAUUCAUAAUUAAAUUUCAAACACAUAGGAAAAA